UAAUAGACUACCCGUGGUAGUCCACGCCCUAAACGAUGCGAACUGGAUGUUGGGUACAUUACGGUACUCAGUGUCGAAGCUAACGCGUUAAGUUCGCCGCCUGGGGAGUACGGUCGCAAGACUGAAACUCAAAGGAAUUGACGGGGGCCCGCACAAGCGGUGGAGUAUGUGGUUUAAUUCGAUGCAACGCGAAGAACCUUACCUGGCCUUGACAUCUGUCGAAUCCUGCAGAGAUGCGGGAGUGCCGCAAGGAACGACAAGACAGGUGCUGCACGGCUGUCGUCAGCUCGUGUCGUGAGAUGUUGGGUUAAGUCCCGCAACGAGCGCAACCCUUGUCCCUAGUUGCCAGCACGUAAUGGUGGGAACUCUAGGGAGACUGCCGGUGACAAACCGGAGGAAGGUGGGGAUGACGUCAAGUCCUCAUGGCCCUUACGGCCAGGGCUACGCACGUACUACAAUGGUCGGUACAGAGGGUUGCGAAGCCGCGAGGUGAAGCCAAUCCCAGAAAACCGAUCCCAGUCCGGAUCGGAGU
rnacentral:rRNA from 1 species